rnacentral:rRNA from 1 species
GUAGGUGGCAAGCGUUGUCCGGAAUUAUUGGGCGUAAAGCGCGCGCAGGCGGUUCUUUAAGUCUGAUGUGAAAGCCCACGGCUCAACCGUGGAGGGUCAUUGGAAACUGGAGAACUUGAGUACAGAAGAGGAAAGCGGAAUUCCACGUGUAGCGGUGAAAUGCGUAGAGAUGUGGAGGAACACCAGUGGCGAAGGUGGCUUUCUGGUCUGUAACUGACGCUGAGGCGCGAAAGCGUGGGGAGCAAACAGGAUUAGAUACCCUGGUAGUCCACGCCGUAAACGAUGAGUGCUAAGUGUUAGGGGGGUUUCCGCCCCCCUUAGUGCUGCAGCUAACGCAUUAAGCACUCCGCCUGGGAGUACGGCCGCAAGGCUG